rnacentral:rRNA from 1 species
AUACGGGGGGUGCAAGCGUUAAUCGGAAUUACUGGGCGUAAAGCGCGCGUAGGCGGUUUGCUCAGUCGGAUGUGAAAGCCCAGGGCUCAACCUUGGAACUGCAUACGAUACUGGCGAACUAGAGUGUGAGAGAGGAUAGUGGAAUUUCCGGUGUAGCGGUGAAAUGCGUAGAUAUCAGAAGGAACAUCAGUGGCGAAGGCGACUGUCUGGCUCAACACUGACGCUGAGGUGCGAAAGCGUGGGUAGCAAACAGGAUUAGAUACCCUAGUAGUCC